rnacentral:lncRNA from 1 species
UGCUAGGCUAAAUUCUUGCUCUGGGCCCAAAUAGAUCAAACUAAAAGGCAAAAUGGAAUGAUAAAUGCUAAAGAUCUAUGUCACCAAACUGAAACUAAGAUGCUACGUGACUUUCCCUCUCCCUAAAUCAGGAGAGCUAUCACAGCCAGUUUUCCUAAACAGUCCAGUUUCGAUUGGAGUGACGCUGAUGUUCUCUCUGCCUCCACCGCAACACACGAAAGUGACAGAAGAACCUGCUAAGUGAGAGUCAGGAUGACCUGAACCUGGGUCCUUCAAUCAAUAACCCACAGGCAAGGUAAUUACUUCAAACAACCACUUGAAUUUUCUGCUUCACUGUAUUUACAAUCGGUAGAAAACAA